CCUACGGGAGGCAGCAGUGGGGAAUAUUGCACAAUGGGGGAAAGCCUGAUGCAGCAACGCCGCGUGAGUGAUGACGGCCUUCGGGUUGUAAAGCUCUGUCUUCAGGGACGAUAGUGCCGGUACCUGAGGAGGAAGCCAUUGCUAACUACGUGCCAGCAGCCACGGUCAUACGGAGGUGGCGAGCGUUGUCCGGAUUUACUGGGCGUAAGGGUAGCGUAGGCGGAAUAUUAAGUGAGAUGUGAAAUACUCGGGCUCAACUUGAGUGCUGCAUUUCAAACUGGAAGUCUAGAGUGCAGGAGAGGAGAAUGGAAUUCCUAGUGUAGCGGUGAAAUGCGUAGAGAUUAGGAAGAACACCAGUGGCGAAGGCGAUUCUCUGGACUGUAACUGACGCUGAGGCUCGAAAGCGUGGGGAGCAAACAGGAUUAGAUACCCGAGUAGUC
rnacentral:rRNA from 1 species